rnacentral:misc_RNA from 1 species
CGCAACAGUUGUCUGUCGACAUUGAGUAUCUGACAAAUGUGCUCUCUGCCCUAUCAAUGCAAACUCCUCCAGCUCUCGCCACAUUCCUUACUUGCUUUUCAACUCCAAGAGACCAACUUAAAGAUCUUCUCAAAUCUGAUUCUGGAAAGGAGCUUGAUCUUCCAACAGCGAACCUUGUAUGUAAGAUGCGGCGUGUCAACUUAGAGUAGUAAUUUUUUUGACCCAG